AACACAGAAGGCCUUGGAAAUCAUUCUGUAAAGAGGAGACCAUGCAUUCUAUGCUGAGGAUUAACCAGAGAUUCAUUCACAACUGCAAGCUGAUUUCAUUUCUUAUCUGUUUUCCAUCUCUGGAUUUUACAGCAGGCUCGAAGAUGUUUUACUUCAUGUCCAAAGCCCUCAGCAGCAUCAGCUGGCCAGACUGCCCCAUGGAGCUGGUUCUCUGAGGAAGAAGAAUCUCUGGGAAAGGCACAAGAGGGGUGAGUGUGGGGUGCAUUUGACAGAUUACCAAAUUUGUCGGUGCCCAAAGAUUUUGAACAGCUCUUCCUCUCUCAGACUUGUGUUCUGAGGAGUCAGAGUGAGGGCUUGGAGAAGUUUGGCUGUGGUGGUGGCUGGGUUUGUGUGUGGUGCUGAGUGUGGUACUUCUGCCAGCCCUGGUGAUGGUGAGUGCAAGUGACACAUGUCUGAUGAGUCAGGUCUGUCCCUACAUGCCCCUUAAGGAUUCAGGACUAAAAUAUCACUGAGGACCCAUUUGGGAAGGGAACUAGAG
rnacentral:lncRNA from 12 species